UAGCUCGCUCCACGGCUUGUUUUCUUCAUAGGAAGUGCUACUCGAAACACUGGUUUUUGGAAAUUAAUCGUUUCUGGAUUUUGAAUAUCAAUCCCUGCACGUAAGGGACGGGUGUUAACUGGUGGUUCAUUAGCGACCUAGUUUACUUUCAACCUUUGGUACAUGCUUUACCGUUUCGUAUAGAAUCUCGUCAGGACCUGGGGUUGCAUCAUUGAAAAUUGCUAGAGCUGAAGCUAACACUAUAAUCAAAGGCAAAUCUUGACACUGGAUUUGACUCGUAUUGCAGCUGAUGCACCUGGCUUCAAAUGAAUAAUCUCCAAUGUUCAGCAAGUAUCACAUAUUUUCAUUUUUUUAAUCUACAAAUUGCAAUUGGUGUAGUGGUGUCAAAACUUGAAACAAUUGUAACAUGGUUUCUGCUUGAAUGGCUUUUCUUUAUUUCAAUAUUUAUAUGGCAAGGUACAUCAGGCACCUCAAAAAUAAGGAUACACUUCUGGGCUUUGUGUAAAUUUCACACUUCUGCAAAUUCAUGAGAGAUCUCUGUGGUUCUUGGUCCCCACUUAUUUUUAGUGUAUAAAUGUGAUUUGGUUGUUGGCCGGAAAAUAAGAUUGUUCAUUCUGCCAAUGAUACAACACUUGGAGAAAUGAAGCUGCCCCGAGUCUCAGUCGUGACUUGUUGCGGAUCAAUGAAAUGUGUAGUCGGCGGGGUAUGAGGCUGAACUCAAACACAAUGAAAACGGUUGAUUAGCAGAUCUCGUACAUUUUUUCCUACUAGUUUUCCCCCUCCAGGUGGAUAGGACUCAGCUGAAAGAGUGAAGAUAAACUAUUCUAGGUGUAACUUUUGACUCGCAACUUACUUUUGAGAAACUUCUAAUAAAAGUAUCAGCAAAUGUAGCACGAAAGUUAGAAUUGCAUGAAAGAUCUCUUAUAAAGUGACAAAAUCAAAAUCCAACCUGUUUAAGGUCACCUAUCCUUCCUUUACUAGAAUGCUGUUCUCCAGUACGAAUGUCUGCUUCUGCCCCAGAUUUUUCGUUUAGAUAGUGUGUAGACUUGUUUCCUAACAGAGUUAACACUUAAGACUUGGACCAUAAAUGGAUAGUCUCGUUUGUCAAUUUUUUCACGUAUUUUAAGUGAUCUCUCGCAUUCACAAUUAAUUCUUUAUCCCCUUUUCCUGCAGAAAGCCACCAGAUUUGCUGAACAACGCUACCAAGCUGUAUUAAUGUCCCUGAAUUGUUGUAGAACUAAUCGGUUCCACAGGUCCUUUAUUCCUCGCACUGUUGGAAUGUGAAAUUCUCCC